rnacentral:rRNA from 2 species
UCUGGUGACCAUAGCAAAGGGUCUAAACUCGAUCCCAUUCCGAACUCGAUAGUUAAAACCUUUAGCGCCGAUGGUACUCCGUCUUAAGGCGUGGGAGAGUAGGUCGUUGCCAGAC